rnacentral:rRNA from 1 species
CCUACGGUGGACAGCAGUAGGGAAUCUUCCACAAUGGGCGAAAGCCUGAUGGAGCAACGCCGCGUGGGUGAAGAAGGUCUUCGGAUCGUAAAACCCUGUUGUUAGAGAAGAAAGUGCGUGAGAGUAACUGUUCACGUUUCGACGGUAUCUAACCAGAAAGCCACGGCUAACUACGUGCCAGCAGCCGCGGUAAUACGUAGGUGGCAAGCGUUAUCCGGAUUUAGUGGGCGUAAAGGGAACGCAGGCGGUCUUUUAAGUCUGAUGUGAAAGCCUUCGGCUUAACCGGAGUAGUGCAUUGGAAACUGGGAGACUUGUGUGCAGAAGAGGAGAGUGGAACUCCAUGUGUAGCGGUGAAAUGCGUAGAUAUAUGGAAGAACACCAGUGGCGAAAGCGGCUCUCUGGUCUGUAACUGACGCUGAGGUUCGAAAGCGUGGGUAGCAAACAGGAUUAGAUACCCUAGUAGUC